UACGAAGGGGGCUAGCGUUGUUCGGAAUUACUGGGCGUAAAGCGCGUGUAGGCGGGCGAAUAAGUCAGGGGUGAAAUGCCAAGGCUCAACCUUGGAACUGCCUUUGAUACUGUUCGUCUUGAGUCCGGGAGAGGUGAGUGGAACUGCGAGUGUAGAGGUGAAAUUCGUAGAUAUUCGCAAGAACACCAGUGGCGAAGGCGGCUCACUGGCCCGGAACUGACGCUGAGACGCGAAAGCGUGGGGAGCAAACGGG
rnacentral:rRNA from 1 species